rnacentral:rRNA from 1 species
GACGAACGCUGGCGGCGUGCUCAACACAUGCAAGUCGAACGGAAAGGCCCUGCUUUUGUGGGGUGCUCGAGUGGCGAACGGGUGAGUAACACGUGAGUAACCUGCCCUUGACUUUGGGAUAACUUCAGGAAACUGGGGCUAAUACCGGAUAGGAGCUCCUGCUGCAUGGUGGGGGUUGGAAAGUUUCGGCGGUUGGGGAUGGACUCGCGGCUUAUCAGCUUGUUGGUGGGGUAGUGGCUUACCAAGGCUUUGACGGGUAGCCGGCCUGAGAGGGUGACCGGCCACAUUGGGACUGAGAUACGGCCCAGACUCCUACGGGAGGCAGCAGUGGGGAAUAUUGCACAAUGGGCGGGAGCCUGAUGCAGCAACGCCGCGUGCGGGAUGACGGCCUUCGGGUUGUAAACCGCUUUCGCCUGUGACGAAGCGUGAGUGACGGUAAUGGGUAAAGAAGCACCGGCUAACUACGUG